rnacentral:rRNA from 1 species
AACGCUGGCGGCGUGCCUAAUACAUGCAAGUCGAGCGGACAGAUGGGAGCUUGCUCCCUGAUGUUAGCGGCGGACGGGUGAGUAACACGUGGGUAACCUGCCUGUAAGACUGGGAUAACUUCGGGAAACCGGGGCUAAUACCGGAUGCUUGAUUGAACCGCCUGGUUCAAUUAUUAAAGGUGGCUUUUAGCUACCACUUACAGAUGGACCCGCGGCGCAUUAGCUAGUUGGUGAGGUAACGGCUCACCAAGGCGACGAUGCGUAGCCGACCUGAGAGGGUGAUCGGCCACACUGGGACUGAGACACGGCCCAGACUCCUACGGGAGGCAGCAGUAGGGAAUCUUCCGCAAUGGACGAAAGUCUGACGGAGCAACGCCGCGUGAGUGAUGAAGGUUUUCGGAUCGUAAAACUCUGUUGUUAGGGAAGAACAAGUACCGUUCGAAUAGGGCGGUACCUUGACGGUACCUAACCAGAAAGCCACGGCUAACUACGUGCCAGCAGCCGCGGUAAUACGUAGGUGGCAAGCGUUGUCCGGAAUUAUUGGGCGUAAAGCGCGCGCAGGCGGUUUCUUAAGUCUGAUGUGAAAGCCCCCGGCUCAACCGGGGAGGGUCAUUGGAAACUGGGGAACUUGAGUGCAGAAGAGGAGAGUGGAAUUCCACGUGUAGCGGUGAAAUGCGUAGAGAUGUGGAGGAACACCAGUGGCGAAGGCGACUCUCUGGUCUGUAACUGACGCUGAGGCGCGAAAGCGUGGGGAGCGAACAGGAUUAGAUACCCUGGUAGUCCACGCCGUAAACGAUGAGUGCUAAGUGUUAGAGGGUUUCCGCCCUUUAGUGCUGCAGCAAACGCAUUAAGCACUCCGCCUGGGGAGUACGGUCGCAAGACUG